rnacentral:tRNA from 1 species
GCCCUCAUAGUUCAGUGGAUAGAACAAGAGUUUCCUAAACUUUAGACAGAGGUUCGAGUCCUCUUGGGGGUA